rnacentral:rRNA from 1 species
GAUGAACGCUGGCGGCGUGCCUAAUACAUGCAAGUCGAGCGAACAGACGAGGAGCUUGCUCCUCUGAUGUUAGCGGCGGACGUGUGAGUAACACGUGGAUAACCUACCUAUAAGACUGGGAUAACUUCGGGAAACCGGAGCUAAUCCCGGAUAACAUGUUGAACCACAUGGUUCAACAGUGAAAUACGGUCUUGCUGUCACUUAUAGAUGGAUCCGCGCCGCAUUAGUUAGUUGGUAAGGUACCGGCUUACCAAGGCAACGAUGCGUAGCCGACCUGAGGGGGUGAUAGGGCACUGAGGAACUGAGAGACGGUCUAGAGUCCUACGGGAGGCAGAAGUAGGGAAUCUUCCGAAAUGGGCGAAAGCCUGAAGGAGCAACGCCGCGCGAGUGAAGAAGGGCUUCGGAUCGUAAAACUCUGUUAUUAGGGAAGAACAAAUGUGUAAGUAACGAUGCACGUGUGGACGGUACCUAAACAGAAAGACACGGCUAACUACGU